CAAGCGUGAGGUAAGAGCAUUUGGUGGAUGCCUUGGCAUGUGCAGGCGAUGAAGGACGUGGCACGCUGCGAUAAGCGUCGGGGAGAUGUGAGCAAUCUUUGAUCCGGCGAUUUCCGAAUGGGGAAACCCACCCUCACCAUUUCCUUUCGAUUGUUUUCGGACAGUCGGAAAGAGGUGGAUAGGGUAUCACCAGACUGAAUACAUAGGUUUGGUGAAGCGAACCCGGGGAACUGAAACAUCUCAGUACCCGGAGGAAAAGACAUCAACAGAGAUUCCCGUAGUAGUGGCGAGCGAACCGGGACCAGGCCAGUGCCUUCAUUUCAACUAGCAAAACACUUUGGAAAGAGUGGCCAUAGCGGGUGACAGCCCCGUAUGCGAAAGUGAUGAUGAAGGACUCGAGUAGGGCGGGACACGUGAAAUCCUGUCUGAACAUGGGGGGACCACCCUCCAAGCCUAAAUACUCGCACAUGACCGAUAGCGAACACAGUACCGUGAGGGAAAGGUGAAAAGCACCCCGAUUAGGGGAGUGAAACAGUACCUGAAACCGGAUGCUUACAAGCAGUUGGAGCCCCAUAGGGGGUGACAGCGUACCUCUUGCAUAAUGGGUCAGUGACUUAAUCUACCAUGCAAGCUUAAGCCGUUAGGUGUAGGCGCAGCGAAAGCGAGUCUGAAUAGGGCGACUGAGUAUGAUGGAUUAGACCCGAACCCCGGCGAUCUAGGCAUGGCCAGGUUGAAGGUGCAGUAACAUGCACUGGAGGACCGAACCGGUGAAUGUUGAAAAAUUCUCGGAUGAGCUGUGUUUAGGGGUGAAAGGCCAAUCAAGCCGGGAAAUAGCUGGUUCUCCGCGAAAUCUAUUGAGGUAGAGCGUCGGAUGUAUGCCGAUGGGGGUAGAGCACUGGAUGGGCUAGGGCUGCGCGAGCGGUACCAAACCUAACCAAACUCCGAAUACCAUCGAGUCUUAUCCGGCAGACAGACGGCGGGUGCUAAGGUCCGUCGUCAAAAGGGAAACAGCCCUAACCUACAGCUAAGGUCCCCAAGUCAUAUCUAAGUGGGAAAGCAUGUGGGAAUCCCAAAACAACCAGGAGGUUGGCUUAGAAGCAGCCAUCCUUUAAAGAAAGCGUAACAGCUCACUGGUCUAAACAAGGGUUCCUGCGGCGAAGAUGUAACGGGGCUAAAGAUAUGCACCGAAGCUUAGGGUUCAGAAUUUAUUCUGAGCGGUAGCGGAGCGUUCCGUAAGCGAGUGAAGGCGAAGGGUAACCGACGCUGGACGUAUCGGAAGUGCGAAUGCUGACAUGAGUAGCGACAAACAGGGUGAGAUGCCCUGUCGCCGAAAGACCAAGGGUUCCUGCGCAACGCUAAUCGGCGCAGGGUUAGCCGGCCCCUAAGACGAGCCCGAAGGGGGUAGUCGAUGGGAACCACGUAAAUAUUCGUGGGCCUGAAGAUGUGUGACGGAUCGUGGAAGUUGUUUUCUCUUAUUGGAUUGAGAGGGCAGCCAAGCGGUUCCAGGAAAUAGCCUCUUCACUAUAGACCGUACCCGAAACCGACACAGGUGGUCAGGUAGAGUAUACCAAGGCGCUUGAGAGAAGUAUCCUGAAGGAACUCGGCAAAUUGCCUCCGUACCUUCGGAAGAAGGAGGCCCCAUAUCGACGCAAGUCUUUGUGGGGGGCACAGGCCAGGGGGUAGCGACUGUUUAGCAAAAACACAGCACUCUGCUAAGUCGGCUUCAAGACGACGUAUAGGGUGUGACGCCUGCCCGGUGCUCGAAGGUUAAGAGGAGGAGUGCAAGCUCCGAAUUGAAGCCCGAGUAAACGGCGGCCGUAACUAUAACGGUCCUAAGGUAGCGAAAUUCCUUGUCGGGUAAGUUCCGACCUGCACGAAUGGCGUAACGACUUCCCCACUGUCUCCAGGAUAUGCUCAGCGAAAUUGAAUUCUCCGUGAAGAUGCGGAGUACCCGCGGUUAGACGGAAAGACCCCGUGCACCUUUACUGCAGCUUCAGAGUGGCAUUAGGAAAUUACUGUGUAGAAUAGGUGGGAGGCUUUGAAACAUCGGCGCCAGCUGGUGUGGAGCCAACCUGUGAAAUACCACCCUGUGAUUUUCUGAUGUCUAACCACGCACCGUUAUCCGGUGUUGGGACCCUCUGUGGCGGGUAGUUUGACUGGGGCGGUCGCCUCCUAAAGAGUAACGGAGGCGCGCGAUGGUAUGCUCAGGACGGUUGGAAACCGUCUGCAAGAGUGCAAUGGCAUAAGCAUGCCUGACUGCGAGACCGACAGGUCGAGCAGAGACGAAAGUCGGUCAUAGUGAUCCGGUGGUCCCUCGUGGAAGGGCCAUCGCUCAACGGAUAAAAGGUACGCCGGGGAUAACAGGCUGAUGAUUCCCAAGAGCUCAUAUCGACGGAAUCGUUUGGCACCUCGAUGUCGGCUCAUCACAUCCUGGGGCUGGAGCAGGUCCCAAGGGUUUGGCUGUUCGCCAAUUAAAGUGGUACGUGAGCUGGGUUCAGAACGUCGCGAGACAGUUUGGUCCCUAUCUGCCGUGGGCGUCGAUUGUUGAAAGGAGUUGCCCCUAGUACGAGAGGACCGGGGUGAACAUACCUCUGGUGUACCUGUCAUCCUGCCAAGGGUGCCGCAGGGUAGCUAUGUAUGGACGGGAUAACCGCUGAAAGCAUCUAAGCGGGAAGCCUCCCUUGAGAUAAGCAAUCUUCGAACCGUCAUAGACCAUGACGUUGAUAGGCCGGGUGUGGAAGCGCAGUAAUGCGUGUAGCUAACCGGUCCUAAUAGUUCUUUUCGCGCUUGUA
rnacentral:rRNA from 2 species